AUUCCAAGUAUUUUCGUAAUUAGAUAAUAUAUAACAUAGAUUCCAACAAUUGAAAUGUCAUUCAAAAUGUUUUAUCACAAAUUGUUAAUGAUAUUCCACCAUCAAGACAAUUCGUGCUUAGAAACAAAGCUGCUCAGAAUUUUGCAAUUAGCUAAUCAUGGAUUAUCAUAUGUCCAGACAUAAUUUAAGCAACAUCAUCAUUGCAGCCAGAUAAAACUAAAGAAUUACAUAAAUAAACCAAAUUAAUUUGUAAUUAACAGUAACUACUAACUUUCAGAGAAAUUCCAUUAAUGGAAGUUGUGCAGACAAUCAACAUGGCAUCAGUUCAGACCGCCCGUCUGCUUGUAUCUCAUCAUUAAGCCAACAAAUUAAUUUCUAUCAAACAGAUUAAACUAAGAAAUAUAAUAAUUAAGAGGCAUCAGUAAACUAAUUGAGAGUUAAUUUUUCUUCAUUAAAUUUCAGUGUGUAGUAUAAGAUUUUUGUUUAAACAUCAUUUGCCUCCCAAAAAACCCAGAAAGAUAAUUUAAAAACAAUUUAAAUUCAUUAGAUCUGAAACUACAAAAAAUGGCAUCAGAUAAUAAGCGGAGUAAAUAAUCGACAUGAUUAUUCAGUAUUUACAGUGAAUCGUCAUUUGCCAAACGAUGAAAAAAUAGAAAAACAUUAACAACUAACAUUCAGUAGAUCUGAAUCAAAGAAACAAAAUAGCAUCAGAUAAUAAGCGGAGUAUAUAAUCGACAUGAUUAUUCAGUACUUACAGUAAAUCAUCAUCUGCAAAAGUAUGAAUUAUGCAAAAAAAAAUCAGAUUCAGAGAAAAAAACAAUUGAAAAGUUGAGGAUUUCGGUAGGACCAUUUGGCACGAAGGCAAUAAGAAUAUGAAUGCAAUGAGCUGGUAAGCCAACCGUAUCAGUUUAUGCAUCAGCUUUAUCUCCUUGUUCACAUAAUUAGUACAAGAAGAGGGUAAAUUUGAUGCUAUAAACACAAAAAAAAAUAAAAAAAAUAAGCAAACACACAUGAAAAUUGUUUGAAGAAACUAUUUUUUGCAGAAUCGAUGGAUGAAGAGAAGCAAAUUGAUUGAAGAAUUACUGGAGAAAAUGUUGUUUAAAUAGGGGUUUAUACAGUGCUAGGGUUUGGAGUAUGCGGCGUUUGGCAGAGAAAACUGGCAGCAGUACUGGUAUACUUAACUAUGUAGUUGUUGGAUGAUUUCAUAAAGCACAUAAAGGAAAGAGUGUGACUUGCAACUCAAAAAUAAGAAGUAUGUUACAAUAGACUUUAUGCUCUAUGCCUCGACGGUCUAAAAGACCUAAAGAACUACUGAAGCGAAAGGGGUACCUGAAAGAACCUCCUGAGUGGUCUUGG